rnacentral:misc_RNA from 1 species
AAGUCGUAACAAGGUUUCCGUAGGUGAACCUGCGGAAGGAUCAUUAUUGAAUAAAUUCGUCUGUGGCUUCGGCCCGGAUGGUAAUUCUAUCCAUAACACCUGUGAACUGUUGGAUGCUUGCAUCCACUUUUAAACUAAACAUUAUUGUAACAAAUGUAGUCUUAUUAUAACAUAAUAAAACUUUUAACAACGGAUCUCUUGGCUCUC